AGCAUAUCAAUAAGCGGAGGAAAAGAAACCAACAGGGAUUGCCUCAGUAACGGCGAGUGAAGCGGCAAGAGCUCAAAUUUGAAAUCUGGCCCCUCCGGGGUCCGAGUUGUAAUUUGCAGAGGAUGCUUCGGAUACGGCCCCCGUCUAAGUGCCCUGGAACGGGCCGUCGGAGAGGGUGAGAAUCCCGUCUGGGACGGGGUGUCCGUGUCCGUGUGAAGCUCCUUCGACGAGUCGAGUUGUUUGGGAAUGCAGCUCUAAAUGGGUGGUAAAUUUCAUCUAAAGCUAAAUAUUGGCCGGAGACCGAUAGCGCACAAGUAGAGUGAUCGAAAGAUGAAAAGCACUUUGAAAAGAGAGUUAAACAGCACGUGAAAUUGUUGAAAGGGAAGCGCUUGCGACCAGACUCGCCUGCGGGGUUCAGCCGGGAUUCGUCCCGGUGUACUUCCCCGCAGGCGGGCCAGCGUCGGUUUGGGCGGUCGGUCAAAGGCCUCCGGAAUGUAUCGCCCCCCGGGGCGUCUUAUAGCCGGAGGUGCAAUGCGGCCUGCCCGGACCGAGGAACGCGCUUCGGCACGGACGCUGGCAUAAUGGUCGUAAGCGACC
rnacentral:rRNA from 1 species